AUUGAACGCUGGCGGCAGGCCUAACACAUGCCAGUCGAACGGUAACAGGAAGAAGCUUGCUUCUUUGCUGACGAGUGGCGGACGGGUGAGUAAUGUCUGGGAAACUGCCUGAUGGAGGGGGAUGACUACUGGAAACGGUAGCUAAUACCGCAUAACGUCGCAAGACCAAAAAGGGGGACCUUCGGGCCUCUUGCCAUCGGAUGUGCCCAGAUGGGAUUAGCUAGUAGGUGGGGUAACGGCUCACCUAGGCGACGAUCCCUAGCUGGUCUGAGAGGAUGACCAGCCACACUGGAACUGAGACACGGUCCAGACUCCUACGGGAGGCAGCAGUGGGGAAUAUUGCACAAUGGGCGCAAGCCUGAUGCAGCCAUGCCGCGUGUAUGAAGAAGGCCUUCGGGUUGUAAAGUACUUUCAGCGGGGAGGAAGGGAGUAAAGUUAAUACCUUUGCUCAUUGACGUUACCCGCAGAAGAAGCACCGGCUAACUCCGUG
rnacentral:rRNA from 1 species